rnacentral:rRNA from 1 species
GUUUGAUCCUGGCUCAGGACGAACGCUGGCGGCGUGCCUAAUACAUGCAAGUCGAGCGGACCGACGGGAGCUUGCUCCCUUGGGUCAGCGGCGGACGGGUGAGUAACACGUGGGUAACCUGCCUGUAAGACUGGGAUAACUCCGGGAAACCGGGGCUAAUACCGGAUGCUUGAUUGAACCGCAUGGUUCAAUCAUAAAAGGUGGCUUUUAGCUACCACUUACAGAUGGACCCGCGGCGCAUUAGCUAGUUGGUGAGGUAACGGCUCACCAAGGCGACGAUGCGUAGCCGACCUGAGAGGGUGAUCGGCCACACUGGGACUGAGACACGGCCCAGACUCCUACGGGAGGCAGCAGUAGGGAAUCUUCCGCAAUGGACGAAAGUCUGACGGAGCAACGCCGCGUGAGUGAUGAAGGUUUUCGGAUCGUAAAACUCUGUUGUUAGGGAAGAACAAGUACCGUUCGAAUAGGGCGGCACCUUGACGGUACCUAACCAGAAAGCCACGGCUAACUACGUGCCAGCAGCCGCGGUAAUACGUAGGUGGCAAGCGUUGUCCGGAAUUAUUGGGCGUAAAGCGCGCGCAGGCGGUUUCUUAAGUCUGAUGUGAAAGCCCCCGGCUCAACCGGGGAGGGUCAUUGGAAACUGGGGAACUUGAGUGCAGAAGAGGAGAGUGGAAUUCCACGUGUAGCGGUGAAAUGCGUAGAGAUGUGGAGGAACACCAGUGGCGAAGGCGACUCUCUGGUCUGUAACUGACGCUGAGGCGCGAAAGCGUGGGGAGCGAACAGGAUUAGAUACCCUGGUAGUCCACGCCGUAAACGAUGAGUGCUAAGUGUUAGAGGGUUUCCGCCCUUUAGUGCUGCAGCAAACGCAUUAAGCACUCCGCCUGGGGAGUACGGUCGCAAGACUGAAACUCAAAGGAAUUGACGGGGGCCCGCACAAGCGGUGGAGCAUGUGGUUUAAUUCGAAGCAACGCGAAGAACCUUACCAGGUCUUGACAUCCUCUGACAACCCUAGAGAUAGGGCUUCCCCUUCGGGGGCAGAGUGACAGGUGGUGCAUGGUUGUCGUCAGCUCGUGUCGUGAGAUGUUGGGUUAAGUCCCGCAACGAGCGCAACCCUUGAUCUUAGUUGCCAGCAUUCAGUUGGGCACUCUAAGGUGACUGCCGGUGACAAACCGGAGGAAGGUGGGGAUGACGUCAAAUCAUCAUGCCCCUUAUGACCUGGGCUACACACGUGCUACAAUGGGCAGAACAAAGG